rnacentral:rRNA from 1 species
GAACGUCGUGAGACAGUUCGGUCCCUAUCUUCCGUGGGUGUAGGAUACUUGAGAGGAGUUGCCCCUAGUACGAGAGGACCGGGGUGAACGAUCCACUGGUGGACCUGUUGUCGUGCCAACGGCAGUGCAGGGUAGCUAUGAUCGGACAGGAUAACCGCUGAAGGCAUCUAAGCGGGAAGCCCCCCUCAAAACAAGGUAUCCCUGAGAGCCGAGAUAGACCAUCUCGUCGAUAGGCCGGAGAUGUAAGCAUGGUAACAUGUUCAGUUGACCGGU